UACGAAGGGUGCAAGCGUUACUCGGAAUUACUGGGCGUAAAGCGUGCGUAGGUGGUGAGUUAAGUCUGUCGUGAAAGCCCCGGGCUCAACCUGGGAAUGGCGAUGGAUACUGGCUCGCUAGAGUGCGGUAGAGGAGAGUGGAAUUCCCGGUGUAGCAGUGAAAUGCGCAGAUAUCGGGAGGAACACCAAUUGCGAAGGCAGCUUGCUGGGACGGUACUGACGCUGAGGCGCGAAAGCGUGGGGAGCAAACAGG
rnacentral:rRNA from 1 species